UACGUAGGGGGCUAGCGUUGCUCGGAAUCACUGGGCGUAAGGCGCACGUAGGCGGCUUGUUACGUCAGGUGUGAAAUCCUGGAGCUCAACUCCAGAACUGCCUUUGAUACUGGCGAGCUUGAGUUCGGGAGAGGUGAGUGGAACUGCGAGUGUAGAGGUGAAAUUCGUAGAUAUUCGCAAGAACACCAGUGGCGAAGGCGGCUCACUGGCCCGAUACUGACGCUGAGGUGCGAAAGCGUGGGGAGCAAACAGG
rnacentral:rRNA from 1 species